rnacentral:tRNA from 1 species
CGGGGCAUGGUGUAACGGUAACAUUUACGAUUCGGGUUCGUAAGACUCUGGGUUCAAAUCCCAGUGCCCCGA